UACGUAGGGGGCAAGCGUUGUCCGGAUUUAUUGGGCGUAAAGAGCGUGUAGGCGGCUUGGUAGGUCCAUUGUGAAAACUCGAGGCUCAACCUCGAGACGCCGGUGGAAACCAUCAGGCUAGAGUCCGGAAGAGGAGAGUGGAAUUCCUGGUGUAGCGGUGAAAUGCGCAGAUAUCAGGAAGAACACCCGUGGCUAAGGCGGCUCUCUAGUACGGUACUGACGCUGAGACGCGAAAGCGUGGGGAGCGAACAGG
rnacentral:rRNA from 1 species